UACGUAGGGUGCAAGCGUUGUCCGGAAUUAUUGGGCGUAAAGAGCUCGUAGGCGGUCUGUCGUGUCUGCUGUGAAAAUCCAGGGCUCAACCCUGGACCUGCAGUGGGUACGGGCAGACUAGAGUGCGGUAGGGGAGAUCGGAAUUCCUGGUGUAGCGGUGAAAUGCGCAGAUAUCAGGAGGAACACCGGUGGCGAAGGCGGAUCUCUGGGCCGUAACUGACGCUGAGGAGCGAAAGCAUGGGGAGCGAACAGG
rnacentral:rRNA from 1 species